AACACACGGAAAAAACUUGGCAUCCAUGUUUAUUCAAAAUCUCAAACUAACUGGUGCAGUUGUGCGAGCGCUCCACGUGGCUACUUCUUGCAUUGCAGAAAACAAAAGACGAACGAUCUGCAUGUUCAAAUGAAUGGGGAAGCGCUAAAUUUGAUCAAAUACGUCGGACGAAAGGUGACAUGUGACUAAAGUUUCCUAUUUACUGUACGUCCAGUAUAUUGGACAAAUCAAUUUUGUCUAAUAAAAAUGAUAGUGUAAUAUCGGCCUAAUGCUCGACCGGGUGUAAACAAUUACUCCCAGUGGAUAGUGCUGUUGUUUGUGACUUAAUGCAACCCUUCUUUGCAGAACUUGGUUUAUUCAGUGGUGCAACAACUUCUGCUAUCAGAUGAGAGCUAGCGGCUCUGAAGCAUACCUGCGCUGGGUACAUAGACCUCAUCCAGGCACAAGCUUCAGCUGUAGCAAAGAGAAGGCAGCUACAGAGUCCAGUGCAACUGUGAGUAGCCCACAUAGUAAAAGUGUGUUAUGCAGUUCUGACUGUUCAAAGUGUGAAGUAGUGCUAGCAAAAUAGCAUGUUCUUUGGUAAUGUUUAAACUACGGUUGUUGCAAGAUUAGGGUUGUUAACUUCUGUAGUUACCGCUUUACCUUGCUAACUACACAAAAUGAAGGCACCUGGCUAUGUAUGUUUGUGAGUACUGCGGCUUGGAAUGUUUUCCAUUUGUCAUUAUCACUGCCGUUACCCCCCUUGUGGUGAAGAAUUAAAAUACUUCCAAAUUUUCUCUUACUGCAGGUUCUUUAUUUAUCUAUCUUACAGCUCGAAACAUGUAUUUAACAUGCAUGGGCAGUGUUACAGUAAUUACAUUUAGAUUAUUGAUACACAAUAUAUAUAGAUAACAUGCUAUUAAGUAAAAGAUCAUUUAAGUAUAUUUAACAUAGCAUUCCUGAGGUCAAAUCAUGUCAGCACCACUGUAUGGGCACUUCAAUAUAAGCCAUUUCUUUGUCAUUUUUAAAAAUUCUACCAGAUAGCUGUUUCAUAUUGUUUGACAGAAUUAUAAAAUAUUGCUCUCUUAAUGACCGGGGUAUUUGUUGUUAGAUUCAAUCUUCUGCUCACCAAAUGAAAGUCUGAUUUGUGUCUUGUUUCGUAAUCGUGGAUUUCCAUAUUCCUGUUUGUCACUUUUUGUCUUUUUUCACUAAUAAUAUUGAUUGAAACAUACAUACUGCAUAGAUAGUCAUAAUAUUAAAAUUAAUAAACAGGUUUUUGCAUGAAGUUCUGGGUCUUACUUUUGCCAAAGUUCUUAUUACUCUUUCCUGCAAUACAAAUACCCUUCUUAUAUUGUAUUGGCUACACCCACCCCACAAUACAAUUCCAUAAGGUAGAUGAGGAUACACCAAACCAAAAUACGCUAUUUUUAUUGCUUCAAUAUCUAGAUAUUGAACUAAUCUCCUUAGUAAAUACAGACUAGAUGUUAUUUUACCACAGACAUGAUCUACAGGGUGGCGCAGGGAAACGGGGAAAUUUAUUAACGAAAGUGAAUGUAUUCAGUAUGCCAUUAUUCAGUAUGUCUUUACAAUCAAAAUGUCCAAAAGUGUGUCUUUACUUUUAAAGAUGACAUCGGAAAGAUGUGCUCCCAUUCGGCGUUCACACUCUAACAGCCUGUUAUAAAACUCUGGAAUGUGCGGUGUAGCAAAUCUUGGGGAAUGGCAGUGAUUUUGUUUUCAAUGUUCUCCUUCAGUUCAUGGAUUGUUGCAGGACGUGUAUGGUACACCUUGUCUUUAAGAUGACCUCACAGGAAGAAGUCGCACACACUAAAAUCAGGGAAUCUCGCAGACCAUGCAAUGUCACUAUUACGUGAAAUAAUGAGUCUUCCAAACAAUUGACGAACUGCUGCCAUCGAUUGUCGAGCAAUGUGUUACGUGGAUCCGUCCUGCUGAAACCACAAGCUCGUACAGUCUUGGUGUAAAAAAUGUUUGAAGCGUUUCAACAUAUCGAGCAGAUGUUACUAUCACUGCACUACCAUCCUCACAUUCAAGAAAAUAAGGGCCGAUAACAGCAUGA